rnacentral:rRNA from 1 species
GACGAACGCUGGCGGCGUGCUUAACACAUGCAAGUCGAACGGAAAGGCCCUGCUUUUGUGGGGUGCUCGAGUGGCGAACGGGUGAGUAACACGUGAGUAACCUGCCCUUGACUUUGGGAUAACUUCAGGAAACUGGGGCUAAUACCGGAUAGGAGCUCCUGCUGCAUGGUGGGGGUUGGAAAGUUUCGGCGGUUGGGGAUGGACUCGCGGCUUAUCAGCUUGUUGGUGGGGUAGUGGCUUACCAAGGCUUUGACGGGUAGCCGGCCUGAGAGGGUGACCGGCCACAUUGGGACUGAGAUACGGCCCAGACUCCUACGUGAGGCAGCAGUGGGGAAUAUGGCACAAUGGGCGGAAGCCUGAGGCAGCAACGCCGCGUGCGGGAUGACGGCCUUCGGGUUGUAAACCGCUUUCGCCUGUGACGAAGCGUGAGUGACGGUAAUGGGUAAAGAAGCACCGGCUAACUACGUG